rnacentral:rRNA from 1 species
UACGGGGGGGGGCAAGCGUUGUUCGGAAUUACUGGGCGUAAAGGGCUCGUAGGUGGCCAACUAAGUCAGACGUGAAAUCCCUCGGCUUAACCGGGGAACUGCGUCUGAUACUGGACGGCUUGAGUUUGGGAGAGGGACGCGGAAUUCCAGGUGUAGCGGUGAAAUGCGCAGAAUAUCAGGAGGACACCGGUGGCGAAGGGCGGGAUCUCUGGGCCGAUGCUGACGCUGGAGGAGCGAAAAGCGUGGGGAGCGAACAGG